AGUGAACGCUGGCGGUAGGCCUAACCCAUGCAAGUCGAACGGCAGCACAGUAAGAGCUUGCUCUUACGGGUGGCGAGUGGCGGACGGGUGAGGAAUACAUCGGAAUCUACUUUUUCGUGGGGGAUAACGUAGGGAAACUUACGCUAAUACCGCAUACGACCUACGGGUGAAAGCAGGGGAUCUUCGGACCUUGCGCGAUUGAAUGAGCCGAUGUCGGAUUAGCUAGUUGGCGGGGUAAAGGCCCACCAAGGCGACGAUCCGUGGCUGGUCUGAGAGGAUGAUUAGCCACACUGGAACUGAGACACGGUCCAGACUCCUACGGGAGGCAGCAGUGGGGAAUAUUGGACAAUGGGCGCAAGCCUGAUCCAGCCAUACCGCGUGGGUGAAGAAGGCCUUCGGGUUGUAAAGCCCUUUUGUUGGGAAAGAAAAGCAGCAGGUUAAUACCCCGCUGUUCUGACGGUACCCAAAGAAUAAGCACCGGCUAACUUCGUG
rnacentral:rRNA from 1 species